CGGGGCUGGUGAACAUGACCGCGGCAGAGGCUGAGGGUCGGCAGGAGGAGCAAGACACGGUCUCCGCCAUGGCAUCGCUGAGGGUGAACACCUGCGCCGCUAUGGCCGCCGUCGCUGAGAGCGUCCUUGUGCAGGCCAACGCCGUGCGCCAGAUGAUCGUACCGCUGCCCAGUGGCCUGCCUCCCAGACUUACGCCGUCAUCGUCACCCUUACCCCCCACUCCUGAAAGACCAACGAUGGCGGUGGCGGAAUAAUAUAUCCAUAAAGACAGUCUUCGUGUAAACCACGUUCUAUAUUUGCAGACCAACGAUGGCGGUGACGGACUGUAUCCCGAUGGUGGGGGGCGACGAGCCUCGCGUCGUAUCAUCGCCUGUUGCUCCGCUACCAGACGAAGAAGAGCCCAUGGAAGAAGACCAGGUUCCGCUGCAACAAAAAUAAAUUAUUGUGAGCAGGACACGUAAUAAAGUAAAAAUUUGUUAGAUGGAGACUUAGUAGAAGUACGGUAUGAGGUUGGGAGGUAAUAAAAGCACACUUGUGAUCCGAGGAAGUCAAAUGUGUUACAUUCAUAAAUAAAAAAAACCCUAAUUACACGUAUUUUGCGAAACGGACAUUUAGCGGUAUUUGUUUCAUAUUAAUAAAGUACAAUAGGUAUUGAAUAAAUUUUAGUAACAGGUAGAUAUUGCAUCGGGAAAAUUAUGGCAAAUAUUUUAAGGUCCUGUUCAACUUCUUUUCCACUAGCUUAACACAAAAUGUGCAAUACGGAAUAAAAUUAUUUUUUUAGCAAUUGAUUCAUGACUUUUCCAACAUCUUACGCAAAAAAAUCAGCGAGAUUUGAUCCUAAUAGCGAUGUACAUUUUUCCUUUGUAUGGGUCAUCUACACCUAGUGUGGCCCGGAAAAGGAUAUAGCACAGUUACUCGCGGACAACAAGUCAUUAUUUUUACAUUAUGGUCCAAUCAUUUUUUUGAGUGCUUGUUAACACCAUGGACGUCUCAUUAGGCUUUGCAUUUUCUAAUUAUUUUAUAAUUGAUGUGACAAUAGCGCCUCCUUGUAUUGCGUUGGAGUUCUUCAGAGGCAUGAAUUAUCGAGGGUCGAGUGGACAAGUGUACCGAAAUGAUAAUGUAGCGCAUUUCAUGGACGGAAAUUUGGUGAGAAAAUAGCAUGCAGUAAUUCCAGAGCUAGUGAUUAGUUAUUGUGAUAGCAUUAGGUUGAGUGUGCGUGAAUUCAUGUUGGUUGGAACUCAACGACGGUGAAAGAAAAUGCAAGAGUUUUGGUGUUGUGUCUGUGAUGCGCAGUUUCCACUCAUGGUGUUUCCACGACAACUCGCUGUCCGUGUAUCCUCAACUUAAGUUUGUAACGGCAAACCAGCAAGAGAAAACGAAGCCUCUAAGGUACUUCUUAGUCUAAUAUUAAGGGUUAAGUUUGACCUUCAAUAGGAAUGCUCAAGUAGGUCUGCUUUCUGCUGCUAUCACUAACACCUCGGUUAGGAUAGACGUGUACCGUGAUACUCACCCUUACAAUAAAACUAUAUUCCCUUACCGGUCAACAAAGGUGAGCUUUCUUUAUGUAGGAACGACCGUUAGCAAAUAGUUGGUCUUGAGAUAAGUGAUGAAGUUCAUAACUUCACGUUCGCUAGUCAUCACUUGCACUGGAAAUAAUAAGCUAUUGGGACCUUCCGAAAAUAGGUGUUGAACCUUGUGCAAUCCACGUGUUUCAUGUUGCUUUGUAAGCAAUUUUCCGUUGCCCGUCUGUAAAUGUUUAACCUCAACAGCGUACUGAACACUGUACAUUGUACAAUAAUGUAUGAUGAAUGUCUAUGAAUAUCAUUAUUUUAGGCACGAAUAAAACAAGCGAGAAAACGUGCUUAUGCGGAACAUGACUGAUUUUUUUUGGUAAAGCUCAGCCCUUCGAUGAACUAAUCUUCAUGGUAUCCACGAGAAAUUGCUGGCAAUUUCUUCAAUUGGAAUAAACAAUUUAUGGAGGUAAUAAUUUAAGUGUUCGUUAGAAUAUGUUGGACGUACAAUUUUGUGCAGAUAAAUGUUGUGUAGAAAUUUCAUGUUGUUUUCCCUCCGACCAUAACACCCCUGUAGCCAAUUUGUGCUUUCUCUCGUGACCAUUAAAGAUAAAACUAAUUUCACGUACUUUCAACAAUGUUUAAUGCGCAAAUUUAUGCAUUCUAAUUUUCUUUUUUUUUUUCAAGGGAACGACUAUAUUUUACUGUUGAGAAACUCUCAGCCCGAUUGUGCGGUAAAUUGUUUACGUUAACUAUCAAGUUCACGUAUAAUUUUUGUAUUAUUUCACUUUUUCUCGUACGCAUGUGUGCUCUUAUCCUUUGAUUAUGAUGAGCUUAAAUUAGUGUGUGGAUUAAGGAAUAUGUUCUUCAACUUGGUGUCGAACGAUUUCGUUUUUUGUAUUGUAAAUAGUUUUUUGCGUUGUUAAAAGUAGGGUUUUUAAUAAGUUGUUGUUUAGGUGUUUUCUGUUAUGUGCAUUCUCGAGCAUUUGAGUUUAAAACGAGUGUGCUAGAAGAGUUCAUUCAAUGUUACUAAGUUUCGCAAACCUUCCGUUUGAAAUUGUGAUGCUUGGAUCAGCGUCGUGUAAGAUCGUCUCGCUAACAUUUACCCUUUUUUAUGAAUCUCUAAGUCGCUAUGAAUUGGCUUCUGUUUUGCCUAAUUCAUGCAAAUAUGUAUGGGCUCCUCUCGAGCCAAUCAUUCUGAUGUAUUAUGGCAACCAAUAGUUAUUAAAUUUAUCAAAGACCGAAACAUUUAAACCUUUCGGCGGUGACAGCCCGCCAUUUGACCCCUGUCUGUUGAGCAACGAGUGACCAUCGAUUUGUGCACACGAGUUGAUCCAAUUUUUAAUGUUCUAGAUUCAUCGUUACUCUUGAAAUCGUAGUUUAUAGACGUCGCUCAACAAUUGACAAUGGAUCUUUCGUCGCCAUGGAAGCUGAGGGCGCGUUGCUCAAGCUGUGUCUUUUUCUUAUUUUGUCGUGGCGAGUAUACCUACAGCCUGGAGUCCCAAAUUGUUGUGCUUGUAGUUUUACAUGUUGAUAGUAUUCGGGUUACGGUGUCCUACAUGAAGCCAUUCUACCUUAGAAGGAAAUGUAGAACACGUAUAAACUAUAGGGUUUAUUGCUUAAUUUAUCAAGAUCUCUGCUCGUUAGAUAUUUAGUUUUAUUUGAUUAUGUUUGAUUUGUGUACGGCUGACGCAUCUCAAUGUACAACUCUGUCCUGUCCUUUCUUGUGGAACAAAUUAUUGUUGUCCUGUGAGGCUUUUAUGGGAAUAAAUUUAUAAAAUAGUUUGUGAUUGUUGUUUAUGGCGUUAUGUGUGAUUCCAGAGUAAGUCAAAAGCGUACCAAGUAGGCUGUCCAUUAAGUUAAUAUUAAUGGUCGCGAUCAAUAUUGGUUGAAAUUCUUAGAUAUUUAUCAAAUUAUUUAUGCAUAGGAAAUCAGAUGAAGAUUAUAUAAUCCAUAAGUGUUUUCAGGAAUGUUCAUGGGCUUAGAAAUAUUUUUGUUAAGAAAUACAUUGAUAUAUUGUUA
rnacentral:misc_RNA from 1 species